UAAACAAAACUAGUACAUGUCUGGAAUCCGACGUCUUUCGGACGUCCCGAAGAAGUCGGUUUUGGGAGCUCUUCGGGACCUCCCUAAACGUACUACAAAUGAAGCUCUCUCGUACGUCGCGCGGGGACCUAGUGUGUGGUGCCAGAGUUCGCCGCCAGAGCGCGCCCUGGUCGCUCGUCCCAAAGUAGUCGGUUCCAGGUCGGUUCUUGGAGCACUUCGGGACGUCCGAAACGGUAGGUCUAUGUGAGGUCUUUGGGAGGUCCCCCACCACACCCGUCGCAGCGUCCUGCGGCCAUGUAGUUCCGAGUGUGUCCGCUAGAGCGCGCCUCGGGCCCACGCGAUGCUCACCUGUUGUGCAGAUGACAGUCGGCGCACUUUGGCGCGCACUGUGCUUGUGGCGUCGGAUCCUUACUUCUAUUUAUUUUUCUGUUAACUAUAGUAAAUUCAUUUCUCCAAAGAAAAGAAACUACGCACGAAGAUGUUCAGUUCUCAGGUGCACCAAUAAGAAGAAUACUUCAAAGCCUGGUGCAGGCUUAUUUCGUGUUUCAAUCCAAAUCAGAAAGUGCCGGUGCUCUUUGCGGAAACCUUGACCCACUGGAGUUGCCCAAGAUUCUGGAACGAUAACCUGCACCACUAUGCAAUUACAUGUGGAACAAGAACUGACUCCUGUGCUUCAGUGUCAAAUUAAGUGAAUUUCCUGCCACAGAGCAAAGUAAGCAUGACACCUUGGAAUCAGUGCUAAUUGAAUUUCUUUCAGUCAUUUUGGCUUAUUUUUUAUCAAGGGGUGUUACAGUUAUGGUUGCUGUAUUUUCUUUUCAGUCCAACUGAGAUUCCUCUUUUAAAUAUUUUGUUUUUGAGUCCUGUCCACCAUUUUUGUCUCCAUAUUUUCUGUUGUUCGUGACAAGUCCUAUCGUUUGAUUUUUAAUUUAAAAAGGUCAGUGAAUAAAUACAUUUUUCCUAACAGUU